UAUUCCCCAUGAACGAGGAAUUCCCAGUAAGUGCGGGUCAUAAGCUUGCGUUGAUUAAGUCCCUGCCCUUUGUACACACCGCCCGUCGCUACUACCGAUUGGAUGGUUUAGUGAGGCCCUCGGAUCGGCCCCGCCGGGGUCGGCCCACGGCCCUGGCGGAGCGCUGAGAAGACGGUCGAACUUGACUAUCUAGAGGAAGUAAAAGUCGUAACAAGGUAACC
rnacentral:rRNA from 1 species